UACGUAGGGCGCAAGCGUUAUCCGGAAUUAUUGGGCGUAAAGAGCUCGUAGGCGGUUUGUCGCGUCUGCCGUGAAAGUCCGGGGCUCAACUCCGGAUCUGCGGUGGGUACGGGCAGACUAGAGUGAUGUAGGGGAGACUGGAAUUCCUGGUGUAGCGGUGAAAUGCGCAGAUAUCAGGAGGAACACCGAUGGCGAAGGCAGGUCUCUGGGCCUUACCUGACGCUGAGGCGCGAAAGCUAGGGGAGCGAACAGG
rnacentral:rRNA from 1 species